UCACCUGCUUAUAUAUACCCACCACCAUUAAUUAAUCUCAUUACCCAUCGACAAUUAAGAAAAAAAUUAAAGAAAAUCAAUUUAAUCACCAGAAAUUAAUUAAUUAAUUGGAAUGGAGAUAUUAAAGUUGUUAAUUGGGGUUGAAUUUCCACGGCCGGAAUAUUCUUUUGCUCCGACACCUCGCCGCCAAAGUCCGCCUUUGCCACAAGAUGAUGUUCAACAAAAGCGUGUUC
rnacentral:lncRNA from 1 species